GGUUCAAUGCCACGUCGCCGGUAGCUUACGAGCGUUGACCGGCGAUGCUAUGAUUGGACCGAAAGCAAUUCCAUGUUUCGCUUUGCUGAUAGGAACCUGUGGACUCCAGCUUUCGUUAGUCUACGGAGCCGUUUAUGGCGAUUACAUUU
rfam:Citrus clementina cultivar Clemenules unplaced genomic scaffold scaffold_2, whole genome shotgun sequence.